rnacentral:lncRNA from 1 species
AGUUCAUGGUGCAACCAGUGCUCGUGCCAAGAGACGUAGCCAGCGCCAGGUCGUUCCCACCAUAGCACUGGCCCCGGAACUGCACACCGUACAGCUUCAGGCCUGCGCAUUGUACGAAACGUGCGCAGCAAAUAUUCACCAUACGUGCAUAACGAGGUAGACGAGAGAACAUUUCUCCCUCGCAUAUUAAUACCAUAUAUACUGCUGCACAUGCUACAGCGGCAUUGCUUCAAUUCUUUCCGCAUCUCACGUGUCUUGACUCAUACAAAAGCUACCGACUGAUGUACAGCUAGUUGGAAUAGCAGCUGUGUAACGAGUAGUAAUCCGAUUCCCUUGGCAUCUCACUCUCGUUGUCUAGCUAUCUGGCGUAACGAGCCGCAGCAGGGUUGGAGAUACAGAGGGGACACAUGCAGGACUCGCUAGGCGGCAAGGGCGGGAGGGAGAGGCGAAUGUCGGUGUCGCAGAUUGAUCGGUGUAUGCGUGAGCCCACGCACCUGCAGCACGUGCCAGGUUCGCACAUGUCGACGGCGUCACAUAUUGCUUGUUGUACGCCAGGAACACAGGCAGCAGGCGACUGCUGUUGCUCUUCCUGUCGUUGUAGCAGCCCAGGGGAAUUCCCUCCGCUAUGCAGACGACGCGAGCAAUGGGGGAACGCGAGAGACAGACGGAGUGACCGGGGUUCAUAGAGCAGCAGGGACAUGGAGAACAGCAAGGUGAGGCUCUUUAUCAUCGUACCCCGCGCAACAUAAUCAACGUAGGGACCCUCCCACCUACCCACCCUGCUGCUGUCCAGUACUGCACGUCGUACAUAAAGUUUGUCAAAUCACAUCAGCGAAAGAGCAUAUAAUGAUCCUUAUAUAUUUCAAUCCACGAAACAACUGAAGAUGUCAACGAAACCCAGGGAUUGCCUCUUUGUGGUGCACAUCGCUCACAAAAAACCGUCUCCUCGUACCUCCUUCCUAAUCCACAUCCCAAGCACCACAAAACCCUCGAGAAUGAUCCCUCUUCUCUCUGACCGAUGUUGCCAUGACUUGUCUAAACAAGCCUUCGCACACCAUCUGAGCCACAUGCUCCAGAUGUUAUCCAGAAACCCCACUAAACGGGUAUUUAGUAACCGUAAUCUGUGACGUUUUUCAACGAACUACAACUGUGAUUUCAUAACUGCCUUCCGGCGGGUAGUUAAGAAAUUCCGAGGAUCCCUGAAAACAUUAGCUGAGGCUCCGAACCCACUGUACAACCAACUUUGGGAGCCCACAACUUAUGCCGUACAGCACAAAAUAAAAUUAUAAAAAAGGUUUCGCGGAAUAUGAUUGCCUGUUUGGAAGCGUGGGGUAAAUGAAAUUGCCACCUCCCCCUGUGGUUCGAUCGCCAUAAUUGUCGUCGUCUAUCCGGUUCCGUGCAUAAUACCCCGAGCGCGGCUGGCUGCGGCUGCACAUCCAGUCAGUGUUGUCACUAGCUAGCUCUACUAGAUCCGUGAAACAGUGCAAACCGAGCAAUCCAUCUCGCUGCCAUUAGGUGGCUCGCAUGGCUGUAUGUAUGAUGUGUGAAACAGGGGGGUGUAUCUUCGCCCGUGGCAGCUACCCUGCGAAACCCUGCCUUCCCCGGUAUUUCGGGGCACCCUCAUCCAGUCACUCAAGUCAACUUCUCAGUGGAUCGCUCAGGUUCCGCUCCCACCACCAGCAUCCAACGGAAUCUGCCGGGUCGACAGCGGCCCAUCUCCGUCCCUGGUCAGCUCGCAGAUUAACUUUGUCCCAGGUCACCACCGUCCAUCAACUAGGGGCGUAAUGUCUUCCACCAUCGGAAGGACUUUUAACCCUAACGAGUAUCGAUCCCGGGAUCUCCCGGGGGCAAUGGUCGCGCCUUACCAGUAGUGCCAAACCCUUGUGUAUGUAUGUAUGUAAUCAGCAAUGCCUGCACCCAACGUACCUGGAAUUGGAAUUGGGUUUGGAGGCGGCGGGCCUGGUGGUGGCGGGUUUGCUGCGUUAUUACAGAAGAGCAGCAGCGGGCCGGUGCGGACAUAUGGAGUCAGCGCGUCGGUAAAAAUGGUUGGGCAAAGUAAUGGGGCCAGUUUCUGCCUGCUGCAUUAUCACUGUUCUGCCGAACCAGUCAUUUGCCACGUGCGGGUUGGCUCGUUAUUGACAUGCGGCAGACCAGUAGCAGGCUGAUCACAGCCGACCCACAUGGAUUGUCUCCUGCUGUACAAGUUCACCAGGAGCAGUCAAGUGUUCCUAGACUCAGCCAUCCAUCACUGUUUUGCUGGGUAGCAGCUGUUUAAUAAUGAUAUUGCAGGUUUAUACCUACAUCCUCUAUCUCGCUGUAAUUUAAUCCCUCAACAUACCAUACCUGGCGGGGGGGGCAGGCUUGGUGGUGGUGAAGGUGGCGGCGAAGGAGGUGGUGGGGGUGGUGGUGGAGGGGGCGGCGGCGGCGGGCUUGGGGAGGGGGGUGGCGAUGGCGGAGAAGGUGGAGGUGGAAGCUCUGCAGAAGGUGGCAGGUGGCAGGUUGGCGACGGAAUACACAGACUCGGUUUAGCAGUGUAGUGACUCUGCCUGAAGUGAGCAGAAGUGCUCACAGUUCCUGGGUGAGAGCCCUAGACGUGAGCUCCUGCUCAAACGGGCGCGGGCUCGAGUGGAGCCAGCUAGCGUAUCUCGAAGAUAUGCCACGCACCUAGCCGUCCUGGUGGUUCGGCAUAUGCUCGACCUACUUUGGUGAAUUGCUGGCGACGGAAUCGUUCCAAUGCACAGCCAGGUAGAUGUGGAACUAGAGACAGGCUGUUCAUUUGUGAAGUAGGAUUGUAUAAGGGCUAUCGGGUGCAUGUCCCCUCAGAGAACUACUUCCACACUUUGACUCUUAAUCGGAACAUGGAAAAUCCCCCAGCUUUGCACUUUCGCUGAUGACUCACCGACGAGCGAGUACAAACUGUUUGACCAGGUACCUCCGCAGAUUUUGGAGUUAUCGCCUGUGCAGUUCAUGGUGCAGGCAGCGCUCUCGCCGAGAGACGUAGCCAGCGCCAGGUCGUUCCCACCAUAGCACUGGCCCCUGAACUGCACACCGUACAGCUUAAGGCCUGCGCAUGUAUUGAGCACCAAGAAUACCAUGCACCGUCCAGAUUGGAGGUUAACGAGAGGAGGUUUCCCCACGUGUUUUAUCUUACUGAUACACGAGCUAUGUCGCAGCGCACUACGGCUGCACUGCCCUUGUGCAGCGCACUUGUCAAACGGCAAGGCUUAAUGCACAGCUAGUUGGAUUCGGAGUCCAGCACAGCGCCUGGGAGUUGAAUGUUUAGUACGUGGAAGAGCACAACCUGAAAAACUUAGGGCACUCUGGCAGCACUGCAGUAAAAUCCCCUUGGCAUCUCACUCUCGCGAGUACCCGCGGGUACCGUUUGUCUAGCUAUCCGGCGUAUCAAGCCGCAGCAGGGUUGGAGAUACAGAGGGGUCGCCUAAAGAUCUACAUUCGGUCGGGGACACAUGCAGGACUCGCCAGGCGGCAAGGGCGGGAGGGAGAGUGUGUU